UAAGAAAAUAAACGGUGCCACUUACCCGCAAGUAAUCAAAAUGCUACAAUGUAUAAAAUCCUUUUGUUGCAAUGACUUAAUCCUCAGCCGCCUUCUCCUGGGAGCAUCCAAUAAUAGUCUUGCUAUAAACUCAGCUUACAAAUUAAACGCAUUCAAGUGCAAGAUGCUGGAAUUUUGAUUGGGUCAACAAAGUCGAUGCUGAAGCUGA